AGAGUUUGAUCCUGGCUCAGGACGAACGCUGGCGGCGUGCCUAACACAUGCAAGUCGAACGGAGAUAUUAAUGAAGCUUGCGAUUUAAUAUCUUAGUGGCGGACGGGUGAGUAACGCGUGGGUAAUCUGCCCAUAAGUGGGGGACAACAGCUGGAAACGACUGCUAAUACCGCAUAUCCUGAUUUAUCAGGAAAGAUGGCCUCUGAAUAUGCUGUCGCUUAUGGAUGAGCCCGCGUCUGAUUAGCUAGUUGGUGGGGCAAUGGCCUACCAAGGCGACGAUCAGUGGCCGGCCUGAGAGGGUGAACGGCCACACUGGGACUGAGACACGGCCCAGACUCCUACGGGAGGCAGCAGUGGGGAAUAUUGCGCAAUGGGGGAAACCCUGACGCAGCGACGCCGCGUGAGCGAUGAAGGCCUUAGGGUUGUAAAGCUCUGUUUUAGGGGACGAAUGUCUAGAUCAGUAAUAUGGGUUUAGAAUGACGGUACCCUAAGAGGAAGCCCCGGCUAACUACGUGCCAGCAGCCGCGGUAAGACGUAGGGGGCGAGCGUUGUCCGGGAUUACUGGGCGUAAAGAGCACGUAGGCGGAGACUUAAGUCAGGUGUGAAAGACCGGGGCUCAACCCCGGGGUGGCACUUGAAACUGGGUCCCUUGAGGGCAGGAGAGGAAAGUAGAAUUCCUGGUGUAGCGGUGAAAUGCGUAGAAAUCAGGAGGAAUACCAGUGGCGAAGGCGACUUUCUGGACUGACCCUGACGCUGAGGUGCGAAAGCGUGGGUAGCAAACAGGAUUAGAUACCCUGGUAGUCCACGCCGUAAACGAUGGAUACUAGG
rnacentral:rRNA from 1 species